rnacentral:piRNA from 1 species
UCCAGCUCCACCGGGAAAUCGUC